GCCUCCUCAGUGCAGUACCGUGAGCUGCUCUAUACAGAGCUCAGCUGUAGAACUUCUGACAGUGGACUGACACAUUUACAGGAGCUACUCUUGAUUUUGAACUUUUCAACAUCGGAUUAAACUGUCGGGUCUCUUCACAACCAGGGUUCUGAUUGAGAACUUUGAACUUGGACGUCCUGAGAACAGUCAUGCGAUAUUCUGCAAGGAGAAAUGACUCAAAAAGACAGAACGCAUCUGGAUCAAUCUGUAGAUGAAGGACAAGAAAAGAAUGAAAGAGAAAAGUGGCAAGAUAAAACCUAAUGACCCAGGAGAGAAAAAGACGAUUUUAGUUAGACGGAACAGCAUAAAAGGCUUCAGACCAAACUAUUCGGAAGAUCUAGAUGGCUUUAUACUGAUGUUUCAGAAAAUGUCACAGAUUCUCACACAUCAUAUACAGCAGCUCAUUUCUGUUCCUGGAGGCUGACCUUCCUAUACACAGGAGCUCAGUUUUUAACCCUGUGUUCCUGGAGAUUUGGUUUUGCAGGAACAGGAUCAGGCUCCUAAGGGGACAUAGUGAUCAACUGUGCGCUAUAGAGCAAAGUGUGCGUUUUCUCUCUUUAGAAAGCAGCACUUCCUUGCACCAAACUUUAUGUUCAUUCCCUGAUUAAGUAGUGUUUUAAAGUCAAAGGAAAGGAAAAGCCUGAAUACAUUCAUCCCUCAAGUCUAAUCAACACAAAGCUGAUCGUCUUCAUCCUAUGAUGACACAUUUCUCUCCUGAUGGGAGUUUUCUCUUCCAGGAUGAGGGCAUAAUGGCUCACUAAUAUAAAAAAAAAAAAAAAAAAAAAAAAAAAAAAAAAAGUAGUUUUUGAAUCACUGAUUACUGUAUGUGUUAUUCUGCACACAAGCCAGUGUCAUAAGUUUGAUUCUCAGGGAACGCAUAUAGUCAUAAGACACAUAGCUUUAACGCAGUCGUUAUCAACCCGGUUUCUAGAGACCCCUAUACUGUACACUUUUAAAGACUCUUUAAAGUUUGAUAAAUGCAUUUAAUUUUGUGGAGUCUGUCCUAAUGAAAUGAUGACUGCACUGCAAGAAAUAUGAACUAGAAUAAAAUAUUCUAGUAACUGUAUUGCAAUAAAUCUGUACUACUCCAGGGAAUAAACCUGGUUUACUUAAAAUAAAUAAACUGUUUGUUUGUGUUUAUUUUCAUGAUGUACUUUAUCUUUCAAUGUAUAAACAAUGGCAAGAGUAAGACAUUUUGACUGAACGUUAUUCAAGCAAGAAUCCUGUUCUGACUCAUGAUUUCUUGAGUAAGUUCAGACAUCAAAACAAAGACAAUGCAACCCUCUAUAGGUGUUCAACAGUAUUACAGCUGACAAAAAUCACAUCAGAAUUUAGAGGUUUUUACAAUUAUUUAAAUUAAUCAUGAAAUUAAAUGUAUCAUGAAAACUCACA